rnacentral:rRNA from 1 species
AGAGUUUGAUCCUGGCUCAGAUUGAACGCUGGCGGCAUGGCUAAAACAUGCAAGUCGAACGCGAAAGUAUUUUCGGAUACAAGUAGAGUGGCGAAAGGGCGAGUAAUGCGUGUCUACGUACCCCCGGGUCAGGGAUAGCUCACCGAAAGGUGUGGUAAUACCUGAUAAUCUCGAAAGAGCAAAGGCUUGCUGCCUGGGGAUCGGGACACGUCCUAUCAGGUUGUUGGUGAGGUAAAGGCUCACCAAGCCGAAGACGGGUAGCGGGUGUGAGAGCAUGACCCGCCGCAUCGGAACUGAGACACUGUCCGGACUCCUACGGGAGGCUGCAGUAACGAAUAUUCCGCAAUGCACGAAAGUGUGACGGAGCAAUGCCGCGUGGAGGAUAAGCCCCUAGGGGUGUAAACUCCUGUCAGAGUUUAGGAAUAAAUGACCAGACUCAAAGGAAGGGCCGGCUAACUUCGUGCCAGCAGCCGCGGUAAGACGAAGGGCCCAAGCGUUAAUCGGAAUCACUGGGCUUAAAGGGUGCGUAGGCGGACUUGAAGGCAUCUUGUGAAAUCCCCCGGCUCAACCGGGGAACUGCAGGGUGAACCACAAGUCUUGAGCUCGGCAGAGGCGGUCGGAACGAUAGGUGGAGCGGUGAAAUGCGUAGAUAUCUAUCGGAACGCCAAAGGAGUAGUCAGGCCGCUGGGCCGACGCUGACGCUCAUGCACGAAAGCGUGGGUAGCGAACGGGAUUAGAUACCCCGGUAGUCCACGCCCUAAACGAUGUGUACUAGGUGGUGGAGGUUUUGACGCCCUCACCGCCGAAGCAAAAGCGAUAAGUACACCGCCUGGGGAGUACGGUCGCAAGACUAAAACUCAAAGGAAUUGACGGGGGCUCACACAAGCGGUGGAGCAUGUGGCUUAAUUCGAAUCAACGCGAAGAACCUUAUCCUGGGUUUGACAUGCAUGGAUUAUUGAUCUGAAAGGUGAUAAACACUCUUUGAGUGGAACAUGCACAGGUGCUGCAUGGCUGUCGUCAGCUCGUGCUGUGAAGUGUCGGGUUAAGUCCCUUAACGAGCGAAACCCCUGCCGCUAGUUGCUAACAUUCAGUUGAGGACUCUAGCGGGACUGCCGGUGUCAAACCGGAGGAAGGUGGGGACGACGUCAAGUCAUCAUGGCCUUUAUGCCCAGGGCUGCACACGUGCUACAAUGGCACGGACAGAACGACGCAAUACCGUAAGGUGGAGCAAAUCGAUCAAACCGUGCCCCAGUUCGGAUUGUGGUCUGCAACUCGACCACAUGAAGUCGGAAUCGCUAGUAAUCGCGUAUCAGCUACGACGCGGUGAAUACGUUCCUGAGCCUUGUACACACCGCCCGUCACGUCAUGGGAGCCGGGAGCGCCCGAAGUCGCAGAGCCUCAUCUGUGCCUACGGCGAGCUCGGUGACUGGGACGAAGUCGGAACAAGGUA